CAUACCCAACACCGUCUGCUCUGACCUGCCGAUCUGCUCCGACCUGCCGAUCUACCGUGAAAACCUCGACGCAGCCACUACCUCCACCGCUGAUCUGCCGACGCCACCGCUGCUGCCACCGCCAUAGCCGACGUCUCCGCCCCUGCUUCAGACACCCACGACCGCCGCUCCAUCGAAGAAGAAGAAGAAGAAGAAAGCUCAGAGCACAAGACCACUUGCAGAUGGCGGCGUUGGUUGCGGCUUCAUCAUCAACCUCCGGAUUGAUGGAGAGGAGAGGAAUUUCGGCGGCGGUGUUCCUGAAGAACUGUUCAGGAAGAGAUACAGAAGCUAGCUUAGCUUGCUGAUGGAUAUGAUGCACAGAAUUAUACAUGCAGGCAUCACCAAAUCACUUGGUUAAGUUGAGAAAAAAACUGUAUGAUGGUAAAAUUAUGGUAAACUGGAAGGAGUAAAAUAGUAAUGAAAGAAAGGAAGGAUAUAUGCCAGAAGAAGAUUUGAUCAAGAACCAUUGCAAAGUGCUUCUGUGCAAUAUAUGUCUUCCACUAGAAAGGCUCAUAAGUCUCUUAUAUAGAGGGUAAAAUGUAACAGUCUUUGGAGGUGCCUUGUUGAAAACUUAAGUUCCCACUUCACUUGUUGCACUUGGAAUUCUGUAGAUUCCUGAACCACUAGAGAAAGGACUUGCUGAGGACAUUGAAAAUGGUGUUGUCUUCUGAACAUGGCAGAAUAACUUGUCUUCUGAACGCUUGAUUCUUCAGGACACACUAUUGGAGCAAACAUCUCCUGCGCCCUUUCAGACUCAAGUGUCACCUAAUGAUCCAGACUCCAUAUUGCAUACAGAAGAUACACACACCCAUACAAAUCCUGUUGGCCAUGCAAGUGAUGUUGCAGGCGGGUCUGGGUUAAGGAUUCGGAAGCGUCAACGACAAAAUCGACCAACUUCAGGAAACAUUAUCACCCGAGGCACUGCCCCAAGGAGAAUUCAUUUUGUGUUGGAACGGGAACCAAUUUCUGUUAGUUCUGCUAAUAUGGCAGAGGCAGGAAGUUUUGGCAGUGAAGUGCAUAAAGCACAAUCACUCGUGGCAGAGGUUCAAGCAUCUCUCACAUCCUUCAAAACUAAGGCAUCAGAAGAAUCAUAUGGGGAUAAUAGUGCCACCAACCACCGCACUACAGUAGAUGGUGAAACUGGCACAAAGGUUUGGAUGCCUCAGCUAUUUAACCAAGCAAGCUCAUAGCACAAUGUGAGCCAGGUAAGUGCUGCAAAGAGAAUUUUGCAGAUGGAACAAGUAACUGUGUCGGUUAGUUUUGGACAAGCAGGCAUAGGACAUGGAAGAAGAGCUGUAAUAGGGGAGGUAAGAUUAAAUGUCAGCUUUCUAAAUCAGUUUUGUUUUGUGUACUGCUUUUGAAAUUGUUCUUAAAACUUGAGGAAUUCCAAAUGAAGACAUGGCGUUUAACUCGUGGGUGUUUGCUUAUUUGCUAAGAACUUCUCAUAAUGUGUUCUGUAGGCAUAUAUUUUUCUGGAAAUAGAAAACAAAUUUCUUUCAUCCUGGUAAAAUCUGUCAUAUUCCAUGCAGGCCCAUGAAUGCACUUCAAGCACUGAUAAGGAUGAGAUGCACAGUGCAAGCACCAUGGAAACCACUCAAGAACAUGAUACAACAGUUCGGUUACUGUCCAAACAGGGCAGUAAUCAUCACCUCUCAAAGAAUGGGUUCUCUUUCUCAUCGCUUGUAUCGCAUGUUCUCUGUGGGCUCAGCUUCUCAAGAUUAUAUGCUGUCAGCAUAUAUGUAAUAGUAGCCGUGUCAAUAUUCUGUAUUAUGAUCUGGAAGUACCCAAGCAAAGCUGUAGUGCAAAGAUAAACAUGUGCAUGCUAGUCUUUGUUAUUCAGUAGAUUGCUGUAA